UUGAGGGUUGGAGUGAAAGCUUAUCGAACUUAGUAAUAGCUGGUUCUCUCCGAAACAGCUUUUGGGUUGGCGUCGCGUGUUCCUUCUGGGGGUAGAGCACUGGAAGGUCUUGAGAGGUAGCAAUACCCCAAGAUCUAUCAAAACUCCCGAAUACCAGAAGUUAAGAGCGCGGCAGUUAGGCGGUGGGGGCGAAGCUCCACUCGCCAAAAGGGAAACAGCCUAGAUCGUCGGUUAAGGUCCCUAAAUCUAUGCUCAGUGCACUUAAGGAUGUGUUGUUCCUUUGACAGUGAGGAGGUUGGCUUAGAAGCAGCCACCCUUUAAAGAUAGCGUAACAGCUCACUCACUCAGGGACGAUGCGCCGCAGAUAAUCGGGGCUUAAGCAUAGUACCGAAACCACGGAAUGAGAUGUCUUCGGACAUCGUAAUUGGUAGGAGAGUGUUCCAUAUCGCGAUGAAGGAGAAGACGUGAGUCACUCUGGAGUAUAUGGAAGUAAGAAUGUUGGCA
rnacentral:rRNA from 1 species